GGGGGAGCGCGGGACAGCGCCGGGCCGGCAGCUAUCGCGAGAGCGGCUGGCGGCAUGGGGACGGGGCCAGGGGCCGCGGCGCCGCCCCCUGCCCGCGGCAGCCCCUGAGCAGAAGGAAAGCCAAAAUGACUUCAGUGACAGCUCAGAUAUCCCACAGAAUGACUAGUAGGAGCAGAACAGCAGGAGCUGGAAUACGGUGAGGACUUUCCCCUCCAGGGAAAGCCAUUUCCAGUCAUCAAAAGGAGUUGAAGGUAGCAGACGGCCAACACACCCACCAUCAAGGCAAACUUCUGUUGGUGAAGACCAGAGAUUUUGGUCUAAGCAAGUUGGCCGCCUGAGAUGAGAAUACGCUAAGAUGAGGAAGAUGCUGCUGUAAUCAAGGCAACAGGGAACCAGAUGCGCAGUGGCCACAGGCUGGGCUACGGACGUCCUUCCCCAGUAGUGAAUAUUCAGUCUCUUUGGAAAGAGGUGGUUCCUCUUCUGCGGAGGAAAGUCUCACAACACAGGGCUAUUGAAUACUGAAAGCCCUCCUUUGACUGCGAAAGUCACUGCUCCACAAAAUGCUGGCAGAAGAUGCUCGGCGAGCCCUGGGACACAUUGGGCUUGUUCCUACACGGCUCCUCUGACCCCUGACCAGUGCCAGGCAGACCUGCAGCCUGAUUCGAUGCGGCCUUGCUCAUUUUCUGAUAAUAUUUUUCUAAUGUGUCUCCUUUAUUCCAUUUCUGGUUGCAGAAGUAAAAAGUGAUUUGAUAUCAGAAGAAGGGAUUUAUAUCUUUGGGACCCAAUUUUCUGAAUACUGCACAAAAAUGUACAUACAAGUCUUGGCAAUGAGCUGGAUUUUGUAUGCAAAUUGGGUUGCUGUGUGUGUAAUUGCCCUUUCAAUGCAUAAUUGCCCAUGGGCAGUUUUUGCAGAAGAUCCUAUCAACUGCGUGUGUAGAUAAGUCCUACAUUUCUAUUCACUUCAGGAAAUGUGCCCAAGCAGGAAUUUAAAACCAGACACCCAGGAGGGAUGAGAACUUCUCAGCGAUCUGGAAACAACGAACAUGCGGGCUGUAACGAGCAGGCAGGAUUUUGUGGACAUGAUGAGCCUGAGAAAUGGAGAGAGUAUUUCUGCUGCAGGUUCAGGACAGCCCGUAGCAGCGGCAGGCACCUGGAGGGGACAGCAGCAGCUUCCCAGAUCUCACCUUGCAAUUGCAGCGCUUGGAAAGCAUGGCUCAAAUUAACCCUUCCCUCUUCUGCCCAAGUGCUGUGCCACAGAUGAGGAAAACCCCCAAAAUUAUUUUUGGGUGUUCAUUCCUUGUGUGAAUGCUGAGAUAAGGAGGGGCUGAAGCCCUUUCCUUCAAACCAGAUUGGAGAAAACCUGCUGCAGUGCCUGUAAGGAAUUUUCAGAAAACUUCUGUGAGUUUUUACUGAAACCACAAGCCUUUUUUUUUUUUUACCCUUCCACAAUUUUUCUGUCUAACUUUUCAAGGCACUUUUACUGAAGAUUUACUGAUAGAAACCUUCUACUGAGUGCAUUUGAUCGCUCCAUAUUUCAGAAACAAUGUAAGAAUGGAAAAAAUCUCUCUCUUUAGGCUCCAUUAUCUUACACUCCUGUUGUCAGCACUGAGUUAUAAAGAACCGAUGCUACGCUUAAAACACUGAAUGGCUUAACUGCUCAGAACAUAAAAUGAAAGCACUAAACUUAUCAGGUUUGUGUAAAAAACAUGCACUUUUCCCUUACAAUAAACAAAUAGAUAUAUAACAGCAAGCAAAAUAAAGCAGGCAAAUGCCUUGUCUUCUCUCCUUGUUGUGCUGGGCUGUAGUUGCCUGCUGUAAGAAAAUACAUCGCUGGCGUUGACUUUAAGCUCCAUGAUGGGAAUGAGAGUUGCCGUCUAUUCACAGCCUCGGUGGCAAAUUGGGUCAUUUCCAGGGGUAGUACUGUAAGAGAUUUUGUCUCUGAAAUUAGAGCCCCCUCUCCAAAUGCACAGGUCC